GUGACACCCCUGUGACUCAGUGAGGUAGGCGAGCUUUUUAAUCCCCAUGGGCAAUAUAGCCUCCCUGUGAGUAGAGUUCAGGUCUCCCCUUUUGCUGUGGUAGGUUUAAGAACUGUUGGCAUGCUACUCGGUGACCUCCCUGUAAUCGGGGUCCCGCUCACGUCCCUGCAGUUGGUGGAGUUUAGGGCUCACUUACUAGGCUGGAUGCCAGUGACCUGCCUGUAACUUUGGGUUUUCCUCUUUCCCCUUUCGGCUUCCUUGGCACUGUGCUGCUCCGGCACGGCAGUCAGGAAGAGCGCUCGCUUCACAAGAGUUCAGGUCUUGAUUCUCAUUUACAGAGGGUAUUGAGCCCUUAAGUACCUUGAGACCAAGUGACUGCCCUGUAAGUAGGGUUCUCGUCUCUCCCGUUGCAAGCUCCAGGUGCUAAACCCUGCUGGCUGGCUAGUCAGCGUGGCCCACCCCGUAACUAGGUUCUUGUCUCUCCGCUUAUGAGGUGUAAGUGGUAAACUGUGCUGUCUGGCUAAUCUGCCUGAGCGCCCUGUAAGUAGGGUUCUGGUCUCAUUCCAAUGGCACUAGCAGGGUGACUUUUUUUGUUUUUUUUUUUAAUACGCUGGGCCCAUAGUCCUUCCCAGUUUGGUCUUUUUCUGCUUUGGGAAGUGCUGUGUCAUCUGGUAUGUCUGUGCUGGAGAGCGAAUGUGAUGUGCAUGGGUGUGGAAGGUCUUUGGUUAUUUAUUUUUUGUAAAUCGCUGCAGCUUUUUUUGUUUUUUGUAUUUUGGUUUGGGUGGGUUGGUUGGUUUGAAUGAGCUCUUCCCAGAACUAGAAAAAGAACAGUUCUUUUUAUGUCCCCUGUAUAGUGGCACAAUUGAUGGUUUGGGUCUCGUGCCUUAAGGCUGAAAAGGCAUUUGGGCCCCUUUAAGUUCCUCUAGACCAUGUGAUCUCCCUGCAUCACGUCCCUCUCCCUUCUGGGGGAAUGAUGGACUUCCAAGAACCUUGGGUCUGAGGGACCUCUCUGUAACCCAGGUUGAGGUUUCUUGGUAUUUAUGCUCCAUUAAGCCAGCCGGUGAGAGUGACCACACUGUAAAGAUGAGCCCUGGUCACGUCCCUGGUUCUCUGUGGAAAGGGAGUUUAGAGCUUUUUCAUACCUUUUGGGGGAUAUGGCCUCUCUGUAAUUCGGCUUCAGGUCUCUUAUUUUUUUUUUCCCCCUUUGGUACGUUAGCCACCCUGUUUAGUGAUUUUCCCCCCCCCUCCCACCCCCUGUCUUGAGGGUUCAGGUCUCAUCCCUGACCCUCCCGGCUCUUUUUAGUACCUUGGCCUUGAGUGGCCUCCCUGUAAUUAGGUGGCAGGUCCCAUCCCUUGCUUACGGGGGGUUAGUGAGCCCUUUGGGGGCCUAGAGCAGUGAGACCUGCCUGCAACUGCAGUUCAGAGGUGUCUCCUUCUUGCUUUCCUGUGGCUCUUCUCCUUUUUGGCUUCUGAGUUAGAGUGACCGUCCUGUAAGAAGGGUGCAGGUCACAUGAGUGGGGGAUCGGGAGCCAGUGGCAGCUAGAUCAGCGAGACCGCCCUGUAACCACAAUUCAGGUCCUUCCCCUCUUUUUCUCUUGCGUUUAUGAACCAUUGACUGGCUGCUCGGUGUGAACUCCCUGACUUCUUUUUUGGUUAUGUGGGAUUGGGGGCUGUCUUGGUCCCCUGAGAGCUCCCUGUAACUUAGGGUUUUGGUCUCUAGUCAUUAUGCUGCUCUUGCAGGCUGGCCAGAGCGACCAUUCUGUAAUUGGGGCUCGGGUCACGUCCUUCUCAUUUAUGGGGGGAAUUCAGGUCUUAAUCGCAUGGGUCUUUGGGACCUCCCUGUAAUCAGGGUUGUGAUCCUUUUUUUAAAUCCUUGUGGGAUUAUGGCCCUUCAGUCUCAGCAGAGGGACCUCCUCCAUAGUUGGGGUGUGAGUCACGUCGGCCCCUUUGACACACCAGGCACAGUCCUGGCUUUCUGGAGUGGGUUUCAAGCUCGCCCUGGGAUCUGCAGCGACGACUCCUGGGUUCUGCUUCGCUUUUGAUUGUCAGAGUCCAGGGAGUCUGUAACAACUGCUGGCGAAUUCAAGCGAGGAAGCUGGAAACCUGGCUCCACGGUAGAGCAUCAGUUGAGUCUUUGGCACUUGGAGAGUUGGAGGCCUGGGCGUCGAGUGCGCCAUCAAAGUGCGUGAUGGGGACAGCUCAGAAUUCCCUGCCAGCUAUAGGUCGAAGGCUGCCUGCAGAGGCAAGAAGACAAGCACGUGAGGAAGAAAAUGGGAACGAGGAAAGAAAAGAUGAUGCAGAAGAUGGAAGAGGAGGAGAAAAUACACACCGGGCACAAAGACUGUCCUGUAACUAGGGUGGAAGUCCCUUUUCUUUGUGGGGGGGGGAGAGCGAGCCUGAACCCGGUAGUACCUUGAGCAGCGAGGCCUCCCUAUAACUAGGGUGCAGGUCUCCUUUCCCCUUCGGCUCCAUAAGCCAUCUGGAGAGAGUGACCACCCUGUAAAACGGGUGCAUGUGACACCCCUGUGACUCGGUGAGGUAGUCGAGCUUUUUAAUCCCCAUGGGCAAUGUAGCCUCCCUGUGAGUAGAGUUCAGGUCUCCCCUUUUGCUGUGGUAGGUUUAAGAACUGUUGGCAUGCUACUCGGUGACCUCCCUGUAAUCGGGGUCCCGCUCACGUCCCUGCAGUUGGAGUUUAGGGCUCACUUACUAGGCUGGAUGCCAGUGACCUGCCUGUAACUUUGGGUUUUCCUCUUUCCCCUUUCGGCUUCCUUGGCACUGUGCUGCUCCGGCACGGCAGUCGGGAAGAGCGCUCGCUUCACAAGAGUUCAGGUCUUGAUUCUCAUUUACAGAGGGUAUUGAGCCCUUAAGUACCUUGAGACCAAGUGACUGCCCUGUAAGUAGGGUUCUGGUCUUUCUCCCCUUGUGAGCUGUAAGUGACAAACUGUGCUGUCUGGCUAGUCGGCCUGAGUGCCCUGUCAGUAGGGUUCUGGUCUCAUUCCUCUCACCUGUGGCAUAAGCAGGGUGACCUUUUGUUGUCUUUUUAAUACGCUGGGCCCAUAGCCUUUCCCAGUUCGCUCUUUUUCUGCUUUGGGAAGAGCUGUCAUGUCUGCGCUGGAGAGCGAAUGUGAUGUGGGUGUGGAAGGUCUUUGGUUUAUUUAUUUAUUUGUACAUUGCUGCAGCUUUUUUUUUUUUUUUUUUUUGGUUGGUUUGAAUGAGCUCUUCCCAGAAAUAGAAAAAGAACUUUGUUUUUUAUGCCCCUCAUUUACCCAGAUAGUGGCACGAUUGAUGGUUUGGGUCUCGUGCCUCCAGGCUGAAAAGGCGUUUGGGCCUCUUGCUUAAGUUCCUGUAGACCGUGAUAUCUCCCUGCAUCAUGUCCCUCUCCCUUCUGGGGGAAUGAUGGACUUCCAAGAACCUUAGGUCUGAGGGACCUCCCUGUAACCAAGGUUGAGGUCUCUUGGUAUUUAUGUUCCAUUAAGCCAGCCACUGAGAGUGGCCACUCUGUAAAGAUGAGCCCUGGUCACGUCUCUGUGCCUCGGUGGAAGGGGAGUAUAGAGCUUUCUAAUACCUUUGGGUGGGGGGGGGGGGCAGAAUAUGACAUCCCUGUAAUUCGGCUUCAGGUCUUUGUCCCUUUGGUACAUUAGCCAGCUUGUUUAGUGGGUUUUUUUUUUUCUUUCCCCGCCCUCUGUCUCAAGGAUUUAGGUCUUGUCCCUGGCCCUCCCGGCUCUUUUUAGUACCUUGGCCUUGAGUGGCCUCCCUGUAAUUAGGUGGCAGGUCCCAUCCCUUGCUUACGGGGGGUUAGUGAGCCCUUUGGGGGCCGAGAGCAGCGAGACCUGCCUGCAACUGCAGUUCAGAGGUGUCUCCUUCUUGCUUUCCUGUGGCUCUUCUCCUUUUUGGCUUCUGAGUUAGAGUGACCGUCCUGUAAGUAGGGCACAGGUCACGUGAGUGGGGGAUCGGGAGCCAGUGGCAGCUAGAUCAGCGAGACCGCCCUGUAACCACAGUUCAGAUCGUUCCCUUCUUUUUCCUCUUGGGUUUAUGAACCCUUGACAGGCUGCUUGGUGUGACCUCCCUGACUUCUUUCUUGUUUUUGUGGGAUUAGGGGGCUGUCUUGGUCCCCUGAGAGCUCCCUGUAAUUUAGGAUUUUGGUCUCUAGUCAUUAUGCUGCUCUUGCAGGCUGGCCAGAGUGACCAUUCUGUAAUUGGGGCUCAGGUCAUGCCCUUCUCGCUUAUGGGGUGAAUUGAGGUCUUAAUCAUGUGGGUCUUUGGG